GGACCCGCACAAGUAGUGGAGCAUGUGGUUUAAUUCGAAGAUACGCGCAGAACCUUACCAACACUUGACAUGUUCGUCGCGACUCUAAGAGAUUAGAGUUUUCGGUUCGGCCGGACGAAACACAGGUGCUGCAUGGCUGUCGUCAGCUCGUGUCGUGAGAUGUUGGGUUAAGUCCCGCAACGAGCGCAACCCUCACUUUUAGUUGCCAUCAUUAAGUUGGGCACUCUGAAAGAACUGCCAGUGAUAAGCUGGAGGAAGGUGGGGAUGACGUCAAGUCCUCAUGGCCCUUACGUGUUGGGCUACACACGUGCUACAAUGGUUAGGACAAGAGUUGCAAUUUGCAAAAAUUAGCUAA
rnacentral:rRNA from 1 species